rnacentral:misc_RNA from 1 species
GAAUUACUCUCAACCAACACCUUGGUAUUGGUUGGAUGUGGGGGUCUGCUGUUGGUUCGGCUCCUCCUAAAUGUAUUAGCUCAUGGGUGAUGAACUGCUGUCAGCUUGAUAUUAGUGUCUAUGCUGCAGCUGUGCAUGUGCCGUGGCUCACAAUCGUCUUUGGACAAUUAAUCUAAC